GUCCACGCCCUAAACGAUGUCUACUAGUUGUUGGGGAAUUCGUUCCUUAGUAACGCAGCUAACGCGUGAAGUAGACCGCCUGGGGAGUACGGCCGCAAGGCUAAAACUCAAAGGAAUUGACGGGGGCCCGCACAAGCGGUGGAUGAUGUGGAUUAAUUCGAUGCAACGCGAAAAACCUUACCUAGCCUUGACAUGUCAAGAAUCCCUGAGAGAUUGGGGAGUGCCGCAAGGAACUUGAACACAGGUGCUGCAUGGCUGUCGU
rnacentral:rRNA from 1 species